ACCGACUACGAACAAACCAUGUUUAGCCCAAAAUAACCUUGAAUUUAAUAAAAUUUUGUUUUUGCCAAAAUAACUUGCAAGAUUUAUGAUAUUUCAUCAGGCAUGCAAAGACACCAGUGAAAUUAAGAUGUUUGGUUUUAUUUAUCUUAUCUGAAUAUCUGCUGUCACGCAUAACAUUCAUUAUUUGACCGUAUUUCAAAGAUAAACAAAAUCCAGUUACAACUCCGAACCGCUAGAUGGCAGCAGUACACAAACACGGGGCCAAAUCUCACGAGAAAGAUUUCCGCUGUUUGAAAAGCAACAACAUCAGCGAGCAGCCAGGAGGAAAGCAAUCUACCACACUCGUUUGGUCUUGUGUCAAAGCUGUGCGAAACUGGAGGGAGAAACUUGAGAGACCGUGCCGGAAGAAUGCUGGACAGAGUUCACUAAAAUUCAUUAAUUUCAAAGUUCAACAUGAAUGGUGGUGGUCCACUGCAGAAGCAAGCAUUUGAAAAAACAUCACUUCUCAGUUAUUAAAGAUGCUGUGUUGAACAACUUCCCAGCAGCAACAGAACUGGAAGUGAAGGAUGCAAUGGGGG